AUUGAACGCUGGCGGCAUGCCUUACACAUGCAAGUCGAACGGCAGCACGGGUGCUUGCACCUGGUGGCGAGUGGCGAACGGGUGAGUAAUACAUCGGAACAUGUCCUGUAGUGGGGGAUAGCCCGGCGAAAGCCGGAUUAAUACCGCAUACGAUCUACGGAUGAAAGCGGGGGACCUUCGGGCCUCGCGCUACAGGGUUGGCCGAUGGCUGAUUAGCUAGUUGGUGGGGUAAAGGCCUACCAAGGCGACGAUCAGUAGCUGGUCUGAGAGGACGACCAGCCACACUGGGACUGAGACACGGCCCAGACUCCUACGGGAGGCAGCAGUGGGGAAUUUUGGACAAUGGGCGAAAGCCUGAUCCAGCAAUGCCGCGUGUGUGAAGAAGGCCUUCGGGUUGUAAAGCACUUUUGUCCGGAAAGAAAUCCUUGGCCCUAAUACGGUCGGGGGAUGACGGUACCGGAAGAAUAAGCACCGGCUAACUACGUG
rnacentral:rRNA from 1 species